rnacentral:rRNA from 1 species
GAUGGAUACUAGCUGUGGGGACUUCGGUCUCCGUGGCCAAGCGAAAGUGAUAAGUAUCCCACCUGGGGAGUACGUUCGCAAGAAUGAAACUCAAAGGAAUUGACGGGGGCCCGCACAAGCGGUGGAGCAUGUGGUUUAAUUCGAUGAUACGCGAGGAACCUUACCAGGGCUUAAAUGCAGGCUGCAUAAGCUAGAGAUAGCUUUUUCUUCGGACUGCCUGCAAGGUGCUGCAUGGUUGUCGUCAGCUCGUGCCGUGAGGUGUCAGGUUAAGUCCUAUAACGAGCGCAACCCCUACCGUUAGUUGCCAGCAUGUCAAGAUGGGGACUCUAACGGGACUGCCGGUGCAAACCGCGAGGAAGGUGGGGACGACGUCAAAUCAUCACGGCCCUUACGUCCUGGGCUACACACGUGCUACAAUGGCCGGUACAGAGGGAAGCCACCCCGCGAGGGGGCGCGGAUCUACAAAACCGGUCACAGUUCGGAUCGGGGUCUGCAACUCGACCCCGUGAAGCUGGAAUCGCUAGUAAUCGGAUAUCAGCCAUGAUCCGGUGAACACGUUCCCGGGCCUUGUACACACCGCCCGUCAAGCCAUGGAAGCCGGGAGUGCCUGAAGUCCGUCACCGCAAGGA